UGGGGAAUUUUGGACAAUGGGCGAAAGCCUGAUCCAGCAAUGCCGCGUGUGUGAAGAAGGCCUUCGGGUUGUAAAGCACUUUUGUCCGGAAAGAAAUCCUUGGCUCUAAUACAGUCGGGGGGAUGACGGUACCGGAAGAAUAAGCACCGGCUAACUACGUGCCAGCAGCCGCGGUAAUACGUAGGGUGCAAGCGUUAAUCGGAAUUACUGGGCGUAAAGCGUGCGCAGGCGGUUUGCUAAGACCGAUGUGAAAUCCCCGGGCUCAACCUGGGAACUGCAUUGGUGACUGGCAGGCUAGAGUAUGGCAGAGGGGGGUAGAAUUCCACGUGUAGCAGUGAAAUGCGUAGAGAUGUGGAGGAAUACCGAUGGCGAAGGCAGCCCCCUGGGCCAAUACUGACGCUCAUGCACGAAAGCGCGGGGAGCAAAACAGGAUUAGAUACCCUGGUAGUCCACGCCCUAAACGAUGUCAACUAGUUGUUGGGGAUUCAUUUCCUUAGUAACGUAGCUAACGCGUGAAGUUGACCGCCUGGGGAGUACGGUCGCAAGAUUAAAACUCAAAUGAAUUGACGGGGUCAUAGCUGUUUCCU
rnacentral:rRNA from 1 species